AUAACCACCAUUUUCUUCUUCACACCCAUCUCUCCUCCGCCUCUCAUAUCUAUCCUUAUCCUUAUUCCUACCCCUAUCGUUCUCUCUAUCCCUUCCCCUUCUCCUAGAAUUCCCUUUUUCAUCAUCAUAAUCAUCAUUAUCUCUAUCUCUAUUCCUAUCUCUAUGCCUUUCAUCUCUAUCAUAUUUAUCAUACAUGUCCCUUCUAUCUCUUCUAUCCCUUCUAUCUCUGUCUCUUCCUCUGUGCCCAUCUUCACUGUGUAUUUCUCUGUCUCUAUCACCACUAUGUUUCUCUUUGGCUUCAGCUUCAAUCUCCUUCUGCAGCUCCUUAACCUUAUCCCUAUCAUCUGCAAUAGCCAGUGCCUUGAACACCCCCUUCGAACCACCACCGUCCUGCUUCGAACCCUUGACGUCGCUGUUCCCAGAACCCUUCUUCGGAGGGAGAAUAGCGUGGAUUAUCGUGAGAAGUGUACGGACAAAUUGGGAAGCUUGUGGAGUUCUCCACCGCCAUGGCUCUAAUGAAGAAUCGAAGCACGAAUGACGAAUUGGAAAUUAUCAUGGAUUCAUGGAGUUACCUGAGGUUUAGUUGCUGCUCCCCAACUCACCAGAAACGACUAUGAUUUGGGAAAAAUGUGGUUGUUAGGGUUUUUUUUAAAUGAUUGGGGAUUAAAUUGAUGCAUACAAGAAUUUCGCCACGUCACACAACUGUUGAGGCUGUCAGGUGUCAACUACAUGUGCCACGUCAGUUUUCCGGUGACGAAAAUAGACGAAAGGGCCAACUUGAGUUACGUCUUAAAAUUUCAGGGUACAAUUUGAGUCAAUUGGUAAUUCAAUGGCUAAAUUGAGUUGGAGGUCAAAUUUUAAGGGUCAUUUUGAGUAUUAACUCGUUGGGAUUUAUCAAUUUUUAAG